CUGGUUAGGGAGCUACCAUUUGAUUUUUAUGGGGGGGCUAGGAUGAAAAAUUUUGUCCUGCCUUUUUUUUUAGCUGUAAUCUCUGUCCUGCCUUUUUAUUUUUCACUCUGUUCGGUCCUGCCUUUUUUUUUUAGUUUAUCCUGACUUUUUUUUACCUAAAUUGUCGUUCUGACUUUUUUUUUUUGCAAGUGUCUCAUCCUGCCUUUUUUUUUACUCAAAACUCCUGUCCUGCCUAUUUUUUUCAAAUUUCAUCCUAGCCCCCCCCCACCCCC
rnacentral:lncRNA from 1 species